GCUGGGCAUAGUGGUGUGUGCCUGCAGUCCCAGCUGCUCAGGAGGCUGAGGCAAGUGGAUCACUUGAGCCCAGGAGUUCUGGCCUGCAGUGGGCUAUGAUGGUGACACUGCACUCCAGCAUGGGUGACAGAGUGAGAUCCUGUAUCAA
rnacentral:SRP_RNA from 1 species